rnacentral:lncRNA from 1 species
CCCGAGUAGCUGGGACUACAGGUGCCCGCCACCAUGCCUGGCUAAUUUUUUGUAUUUUUUAGUAGAGACGGGGCAUUUCCCCUACUUUUAACAGAGUGUACAAAAAUUUCACCAAGAUACACAUUAGAGACUGGCCAGUUUAAUCAUUCCUCAGUUAGCGUAUGCUCCCCUUAAUGACUGGCAGUAUUUUUACUUUGAAUUAUCCUUGUGCAAAAUAAAAGUAAUAUAUCUGCUUUUUUUUCUAAUAAUGUUUUGGUCCAACACAUCUAUAUUUUGAUCAUGCAGCAAUUUUCUAAAUUAAAGUUGACAACCCUCUUUAGUUUCUGCUUAUAAACUUUUAUGUGAUAGAUCUGAAAAAAAUC